UCCCUGGUGGCUCAGAGGUUAAAGCAUCUGCCUGGGAUGCGGGAGACCUGGGUUCGAUCCCUAGGUUGGGAA
rnacentral:tRNA from 1 species